AUUGCAAAAUGGGCGAAAGCCCGAUGCAGCAACGCCGCGUGGGCGAUGAAGGCCUUCGGGUCGUAAAGCCCUUUUUGAGGGGAUGAGGAAGGACAGUACCCUCAGAAUAAGCCUCGGCUAACUACGUGCCAGCAGCCGCGGUAAAACGUAGGAGGCGAGCGUUAUCCGGAUUUACUGGGCGUAAAGCGCGUGCAGGCGGAUUGGAGAGUUGUAUGUGAAAGCUCCCGGCUUAACUGGGAGAGGUCGUUCAAUACUUCCAGGCUUGAGUGCAGUAGAGGGAAGUGGAAUUCCGGGUGGAGUGGUGAAAUGCGUAGAUACCCGGAGGAACACCAGUGGCGAAAGCGGCUUCCUGGACUGUAACUGACGCUCAGACGCGAAAGCUAGGGUAGCAAACG
rnacentral:rRNA from 1 species